UAGAUGAUCUUGAAAUUUUUCAAUCCCAAAACUAAAUACUUAUUCGUGAAGGUAGGUAUUUUAUCGAAAUAUUCAUCUUAUCAGAAAUCGACUGAUAAAAAUUCACUAAACUAUGAUCGCAAUAUGGCACUCGCGUAUUAUGUAAUCAAUUUUUACAUUUGAAAAAAAAUUGCUUACCUACCUAAUGAAAAUUUAAAAAAAUCUAUUAGAUAAUAAAUUCGAAAAAAUUUUGUUUUCAAAGAAAAAAAAACCGAAUACUUACACAAUUAGGUACCUACUGUAACACUUGUUAGAAACUGAUAAGAAACAAGGAAAAGGGAACGAAUCAGAUUAUUCAAAUGAUUUAAACAUUCAACUUCGGGGGAAAUAUGGCAAAUUGCCGAUACAGUCAAUCCCAUCUUUAGAACAGACUGAGUUAUUGCGAAACUUCGACGACGUUUACUUCAAUUAAACCGAAAACAUGGAUCAUAAAUUAUAUCUACCCCACAAAAGAGCAAAAGCAGAUAUACGAAGAUUGUUAAAAAAUAAUUUAAUAAUAAAAAAAAUACUUCUCGCAUCGUCACUUUGGUGAGAUAUCGACGCAAUAGGUAGUCCUCGUGUAAAUGUUAUUCAAUUUACAAUACUAAAUACACAUGUAUUUUACGUACCGGUCAAAACGCGUGCAAUUUUGAAUGCACAUUGCACAUGGCUAAAAUGUAAAAAUUCAACAUUCCAACGAUGCAAGCAUAACGCAGUGUAGAAGAAUAAUUUUUAACAUUGUAAUAUCACUCGAAUGAUUUAUAGUAAAUAAAAAAAAAAUCAUAAAAAUAAUACGCGAAAUGCUAAACGUCGAUUCACUGUUUGAAAAUUUUUUUUAAAAAUUUAAAAAUGAAGACAAUUUUCAUUUUAUGAAAGAAACACUACGAACAAUGGCGUGAGUUCCGAGCAACAAUUGAAAGAAACAAAUUCAAAACGAAGGAAACUGCAAGGAAUAAUAGGAACCAAUGAAAACGUUGAUGCGACUAAAUCAGUCAUCUUUGUGCUAAAAUAAAGAAGGAGAAACGGAUUGGAAGUGGUACAGUACAGUACAGAUGUAAGAAACUUGUUGAACAAUAUUUUGUAUCGAUGAACAUUCAUCUCCAGUUUUGCGUCAAUUAAUAAAAAAACGGGAAUGGGAAUUGCAAUUUAAUUUACAAAACUUUAUUAACUGAAGAUUGAAGAUCCAGAGACAAGAAAAACGUUGAUGAAUGAAUUUGAGAUGUGAUGAAUUAAUUAAUCUUACACAUGGGCCUAUUCACGUAGCAGCCUAAGUAUCAUACUAGUAUGUAAAUUAUCAAUUUUUAAAAUUAGGCUAAUCAGUGAUCCUCAUCCUUUAUUUGUAAAAUUAUUUAAUUAUUGUUGAAAAGUAAGGAUAUUUUUUUAACGAGGACGAUGAACCCUCUAUUUUAGAACCCAAACACGGAACAUGUUCUAAAUCAAAUUUUCAGCUGCCAAGAGAGAAAGACAAUCAUCUUCGUAGCUGAGCUACGCGACUUCAUUACAUGAUUUGAAUUUUCAGAUCAAAAAAAAUGUAUGUAUAAAACACUAGAAAACAAAAAAAAACUGAACACGAAAUAAACUACAAUUUUUUACAGUUUUUAACAAACAAUGUAAAAACAAAAAUAAAUAAAAUAAUAUCAAAUUGUGCUCGCAUCCGAACAUAUCCAAAACAUAAAAUUGUGCAAGUUUGAAAAAAAGAAUGAUUUCAGAUUUUUCCUCAUCAUUGAAUUCUGAAAUUUUCACAACUAACAAAUUUUCUCAAAGGAUCUAGAGAUUAUAUAAUCAUAUAAUGUCUUCGAAAAAAGCAGUUUCGAUCCUAAAACGAUGUACCCCAGCCUAAUAAUCAAUGACUAUCAAUGACAACACAAACAGCUAAAUUCAUCGAAGAAAAAAUGAACUUUCAACAAUU